UAGGCUAAUAUCUGGCUUCAACUUCGGAAUAAUCUUAUCUCGUAGGGAGAGAAGGUAACAAGAGAAUACCGGAUAAUUAAAAGGUACUGCCGGUUGAAGAUGAUUAGGUUCAGUAUUAGGUAGUUGGUGAGGUAAUGCUCACCAAGCCAAUGAUGCUUAGUUGGUCUGAUAGGACGAUCAAUCACACUGGGACUGAGACAAGGCCCAGGUUUCAUUUGAAGGCAGCAGUAAGGAAUAUUGGACAAUGAGCGAAAGCUUGAUCCAGCAAGGCUUGGUGAGGGAUUGAAGGCUUAGGUUGUA
rnacentral:rRNA from 1 species